UAAACUACUCUGCUUCUUGAGUGAGUCCGGGCUUUCAAUCAGGUCUGGGAUUUCUGCAUCUGUGCAGCACAUGGCCAUGUGUCACUUUGGACACGCUGCGUUGGAAAUUUCUCUCUCCUCUGUUUGUCUUCUUUGUACUUCCCUUCUUCUGACCUGGGACAGAAGUCUUCCAGGACUGUGCUGAGAUGCGUGCACACCGAGCGGUGUGUGUGUCAUGACGGUGGAUGGAGGAGGGAGGGAACCCACUGAGAUGCCUGAGCAUGGAAUCCAGGCUUCACACCUCCCAGACAGCCCCUUGACCUGCACGUCCUGGGCUGCUCUGCAGCACCUUGGGUCUCAGCCAGCCAGGUAUUGCAUCACUAUUAUUUUGGAGAAAAUAUUUUCCUACUAUCAAGAGGAGAUUUGGAUAGGAAAUCAGCACUGAUAUCCAGAGGUAGAUGCUAUUGUGAGCAACUGAAUGGAUCCAAGCACUCAUUCCUGGGCAUAUUUUAUUUUGGACUAAAUCAGAAAAAGAGGUUUAUUUGUGUACUUCAGUGAACACAUACUAGGUUUUAGGGAACUGCUAAUCUUUUGUUAAAAUUCAUGGUCUUCUGGGAUUACUUGGUUAUUCAUUACAGGUAUCAAAGCAGAAACUAAAUUCUGCUGUAUUGUGAAGCUUGGCUCAUUCAAUUGGAAAAAUCUUAAUGAUCAAGAGACCAUGUGUUUUUACUCAGAUAUGUUUUAUGACAUAGCUGUAAAAUCUUGUCUCAAAUAGACCUACCACAGCCUUGCAUUGUUUCACAGACAGUAAUAGGACUCACUUCUAAAAUGCCUUUGUAUUAAGUCAAAAAUACUGAUGAAAACUAGAGAGCUUCACACAGGAAUUAUUUAUGACUUUUUUAUUACUAACACAAGAUCUUAAAAAACACUGUGUGUUAGCUUGAAGUGUUAGCUUCAAGUCUGUAGAAAUUGUAGCAAUGGGUGUGUGACAGCCGUGGGCUGUUCAGAAGAGGCUGCCUGGGUCACUGUUAACAACUGUGCUUAAAGGGUUCUUCUUGGCACAAGAAAGUUCCAGAAGGAUGAAAGUGUGAUACGUUGGCUACCAAUCUAGAAAAAAAAAUUUUUCCAUAAUAUUUGAAGGGGGAAAUGGACUAAAUUGUGUUUUUGACUCAGACUGUCUUCCACAGAGAAAAAAAAGAAAGGCAUACCUUGAAAGUUGGAGAACUCUUGUCUUAAGGGGAAGAAGUUCUGUUAACUAUGACCACUUAAAC
rnacentral:lncRNA from 1 species